UAGACGAAGUCUGCCUGCAGUCAGAGUCGGGGAUGAGGUCCGGCUCCCAUAGGAGUCCGGACGAGGCCUUCCUGCAGUCGGAGUUGGGGACGAGGUCCGGCUCCCGUAGGAGUCCGGACGAAGUCUAGAAGAUGGUCGAUCAUCAUGGAAAUUUGGGUGGAGUCCGUCCAUCGUGAAGAAUCUGAUCGAUGCUGGUGGGGGCUUAUCCGUCAGCAAAACUUGGGAGUGUUGCGGAGGCUCGGUCGCUUGGGA
rnacentral:lncRNA from 1 species